rnacentral:rRNA from 1 species
AGACCGAUAGCGAACAAGUAGAGUGAUCGAAAGAUGAAAAGCACUUUGAAAAGAGAGUUAAACAGCAUGUGAAAUUGUUGAAAGGGAAGCGCUUGCGACCAGAGUCGGCCGUGGGGGUUCAGCGGGCAUUCGUUGCCCGUGCAAUCCCCCGCGGCCGGGCCAGCGUCGGUUUCGACGGCCGGUCAAAGGCCCCCGGAAUGUGUCGCCUCUCGGGGCGUCUUAUAGCCGGGGGUGCAAUGCGGCCAGUCGGGACCGAGGAACGCGCUCCGGCACGGACGCUGGCUUAAUGGUCGUCAGCGACCCGUCUUGAAACACGGACCAAG